rnacentral:misc_RNA from 1 species
UAACCGUAAGUGAACCUGCGGAAGGAUCAUUAACACGUAUCCACGUUUAUCACCCGAGAAAUUCUGAGGAUAGCUUCUUUGCGGCCCCCUUCACUUAAUUGUGUUUGUGUGGCCCUGAAGUCGCUUCCUCAGUUACACGUAAGUGUAACUCAACCCGCUUUGGUCUGUCUAUCUCCUUCGGGAGGGAUUCAGACCUCUGUGGGUAACUGUAAACCCCUUUUUUCUAAACUAAAAGCCGUCUCUUUGUAGACCGCUUUUAACCGAAUGCUGUACAACUCUUAGCAACGGAUAUCUUGGUUCUG